CUCGAACCUCUCGGAAGGUGCACUGCACCGGAACCGCCGGGGAUCUCCCACUCCGAACCCCCGCGGUGGCCACGACCGUUCACUCCACAGCCACGUUCACGCCAGUGAUCUCCACCUGAAAGUGCAGAGGUCCUCAAAGACAGCUAGACACAUUGAGAAUUCAACGUUGUAUUUACAAUCAGGAAGAAAUAAAAAAAAUCACCAGUUGAGGAUGUUGUGCAUGUACAAGAGGACUGAAGCCAAAGAAGUGGAAAAGAUCGAACUCAAAAUGCGGCUAUUGCAGGGUGGAGGGUCACAAUCGGUGUAAAUGCACCAAGCGGAUAGAGGUAGUAAAUUAUACACUACAAAAGUUGUUUUUUGCAUAUGGUUGGCUUGUAAAUUUAGUGAGUGAAAUUAAUUGUGUUUUGGCUGUGCAGGACAACAAUCUGGCGGAAGCUUGUUAGCUCUCUACACUUUGGGCUUUGUCUUAGGUUUUUUUUGAAUAAUCCUAGAUGAUUAAUUCACUUAUGUUGUUAAGUUCUGAAAAUAGAAGUGCAGACACAAAAUUGUGUGAACCACCUUCCUACUUUGCCUUUGGUGCUUUGAAAUUUCGAGCCAAGGGUGCAAUGCUCAGAAGAUGCUUUAAAUCACUGACCAUGACCAGUGUUGCUCGUGUGCAGGCGUUGGGUUCUGGGAAGAAUGAUGAGGAUCAUGCUGGAACACCUGAUCGCAAUUGCCUUUUCUUACAUGACCAUGUGAUCUACAAGGCUUGCCUGGAGGACUGCCCCCGGAGCAGUGUCAUGACAUAGUUUUAGUUUACACAUGCACGGAGUUUUACAAUGAAUCUAUUUUCAUUUAAUACCAUUCCCUGUAGCAUGUAUAUGUGUUCCCUAACUUCUUAAUUUCCCUGGAUCCUGGGCUCUCGCUGCAUGCUGCUGCUAGUGUUGGUUUUAGAAUCCUGAACAACCUGGCCGUCUUGCUACUGGUGGAUGCUGGUCAUUGUUUGAAGGACAAGUAGAUGACAAAUGAGGAUAAUUAUGUUAUUUCAGGGUUGAAAGGAAAAACCUGUCUGGAAGAGCUUUUUCUUUGUACAUAAGAUUGUUGAAAUUUCAGGCCUGCUAAUAUUUUGAAAUAUAGAUGAUGUUAACAUUGAA